GAUCGGGUGGCCGAGUUGGUCUAAGGCGUUCGACUUAAGCUCGAAUGGAGAAAUCCGCGCGGGUUCGAACCCCGUCCCGAUCA